UAAGGAAUAUUGGUCAAUGCCCGGAAGGGUGAACCAGCCAUCCCGCGUGAAGGAUGAAGGGGCUCUGCCUUGUAAACUUCUUUUGAAUGGGACGAAAAAGCCUCACUUGUGAGGAACUGACGGUACUAUUAGAAUAAGCACCGGCUAACUCCGUGCCAGCAGCCGCGGUAAUACGGAGGGUGCGAGCGUUAUCCGGAAUCACUGGGUUUAAAGGGUGCGUAGGCGGCUGUAUAAGUCAGUGGUGAAAGGCUGUGGCUUAACCAUGGGAUUGCCAUUGAUACUGUACGGCUUGAAUUAGGAUGAGGUUGGCGGAAUGUGACAUGUAGCGGUGAAAUGCUUAGAUAUGUCAUGGAACAUCGAUUGCGAAGGCAGCUGACUGGACCUUAAUUGACGCUGAGGCACGAAAGCGUGGGGAGCGAACAGGAUUAGAUACCCCAGUAGUCCCUGAGCGGGCUGGCAAGGCGCAU
rnacentral:rRNA from 1 species